rnacentral:misc_RNA from 1 species
AACGCAUAUUGCGCCCUCUGGUAUUCCGGAGGGCAUACCUGUCCGAGCGUCAUUAACAGCAAUCAAGCCCGGCUUGUGUUGAGCUUUUAACAAAUGUUCCCUUGGGAACAAGCUUGAAAUACAAUGGCGAUGCCGAUUUUUUUUGGUGCCCAAGCGUUAUAGGGCUUUGUCACACGCUUUGGUGGCCCAAGUCGGCUCUGUCUAGCUUUUUAUUUGACCAGGAUUGACCUCGGAUCAGGUAAGAAUACCCGCUGAACUUAA